rnacentral:rRNA from 1 species
GGCCGGGUACGAUGUCGAUUUGGAGGUUGUGCCCUUGAGGCGUGGCUUCCGAAGCUAACGCGUUAAAUCGACCGCCUGGGGAGUACGGCCGCAAGGUUAAAACUCAAAUGAAUUGACGGGGGCCCGCACAAGCGGUGGAGCAUGUGGUUUAAUUCGAUGCAACGCGAAGAACCUUACCUACUCUUGACAUCCAGCGAAUCCUGUAGAGAUACGGGAGUGCCUUCGGGAACGCUGAGACAGGUGCUGCAUGGCUGUCGUCAGCUCGUGUUGUGAAAUGUUGGGUUAAGUCCCGCAACGAGCGCAACCCUUAUCCUUUGUUGCCAGCGGUUCGGCCGGGAACUCAAAGGAGACUGCCAGUGAUAAACUGGAGGAAGGUGGGGAUGACGUCAAGUCAUCAUGGCCCUUACGAGUAGGGCUACACACGUGCUACAAUGGCGUAUACAAAGAGAAGCGAACUCGCGAGAGCAAGCGGACCUCAUAAAGUACGUCGUAGUCCGGAUUGGAGUCUGCAACUCGACUCCAUGAAGUCGGAAUCGCUAGUAAUCGUGGAUCAGAAUGCCACGGUGAAUACGUUCCCGGGCCUUGUACACACCGCCCGUCACACCAUGGGAGUGGGUUGCAAAAGAAGUAGGUAGCUUAACCUUCGGGAGGGCGCUUACCACUUUGUGAUUCAUGACUGGGGUGAAGUCGUAAAAGGGGAACACACAA